CUACUUCCCUGACAGAGGACACACCAUGAUCAGAAAGGCGGCUUCCCAGGCAAAGCUCAUCCAUUGCAUUCCAGGUGUUCUGACCCCUGCGUUUUCCCCAGACAUGGGAAACUCAACUACACAAUUUGUGGUAGUGGAAAACUGCAUUGGCAUGCUCCCUC
ensembl:snRNA U1 U1 spliceosomal RNA